rnacentral:rRNA from 1 species
UACGUAGGGUGCGAGCGUUAAUCGGAAUUACUGGGCGUAAAGUGUGCGCAGGUGGCUUCGCAAGUCGAGUGUGAAAGCCCCGGGCUUAACCUGGGAAUUGCGCUCGAAACUACGGAGCUGGAGUAUGGCAGAGGGAGGUGGAAUUCCACGUGUAGCGGUGAAAUGCGUAGAGAUGUGGAGGAACACCAAUGGCGAAGGCAGCCUCCUGGGCCAAUACUGACGCUCAUGCACGAAAGCGUGGGGAGCAAACAGG